CCUACGGGUGGCAGCAGUAGGGAAUCUUCCACAAUGGGCGAAAGCCUGAUGGAGCAACGCCGCGUGGGUGAAGAAGUAUUUCGGUAUGUAAAGCUCUAUCAGCAUGGAAGAAAAUGACAGUAACUGACUAAGAAGCCCCGUCUAACUACGUGCCAGCAGCCACGGUAAUACGUAGGGGGCAAGCGUUAUCCGGAUUUACUGGGUGUAAAGGGAGCGUAGACGGCAGAGCACGUCUGAAGUGAAAGCCCGCGGCCCAACUGCGGGACUGCUUUGGAAACCGCCCGGCUAGAGUGCUGGGGAGGUAAGCGGAAUUCCUAGUGUAGCGGUGAAAUGCGUAGAUAUUAGGAGGAACACCAGUGGCGAAGGCGGCUUACUGGACAGUAACUGACGUUGAGGCUCGAAAGCGUGGGGAGCAAACAGGAUUAGAUACCCCUGUAGUC
rnacentral:rRNA from 1 species